UGGAAGAAUCUGAUGAGGACGUGCCUCAACAGUCUAGGGAGCUGGGAGAGGUUUCACAGAGAUCCUGCAGAGCUGGCUCUUUGAAGACAAGAGACAUCACUAGCAGCAGAACAUUUAGGAGCUAAACGCAAAAAUGACUGUAAGUGACUUGCCAACAAGGGAAACUCAAUAAGCUUUGAUUCUGAAUAAAAGAAUGGAGUGGCUAUUGGGAGCUGUUUACCAAGAUGGGAGACGAGACGAUAUGAGCACAGAUGGUGAUGAAGGCUGAGAGAUACAGAGCCCAGGCUUUCAAACUAUCUGAUGAUCCUGAGCCCUCAAGUCUCCAUCUGGGACGUCAAAGUAGUAAACCAGACAUCAAUUCCUGGCUGAGCCUCUUCCUAAGUGGGUAGAGAAAGCUAUGUCACCGACAGAUCCUCGAGGUCCUUCUGUGAAGUGAAUAUUAAAAUCAAACAGGCCCUGCCCCGCGCUACUGCAAGAAAUGACAUCGCUUUAUUAAAAACCAACAUGGGAUACUGAAUGCUGAAAACCUGGUUUAGUGAACAAAGAUUUGUAAACGUUAUAUAAAUAA